CGCGUGUACUGGUCCGGCCGGGUCUUUCCCUCUGUGGAACCCCAUGCCCUUCACUGGGUGUGGCGGGGAAACAGGACUUUUACUUUGAAAAAAUUAGAGUGCUCCAGGCAGGCCCAAUGCUCGAAUACAUUAGCAUGGAAUAAUAGAAUAGGACUGUGGUUCUAUUUUGUUGGUUUCUAGGACCGCCGUAAUGAUUAAUAGGGACAGUCGGGGGCAUCAGUAUUCAAUAGUCAGAGGUGAAAUUCUUGGAUUUAUUGAAGACUAACUACUGCGAAAGCAUUUGCCAAGGAUGUUUUCAUUAAUCAGGAACGAAAGUUAGGGGAUCGAAGACGAUCAGAUACCGUCGUAGUCUUAACCAUAAACUAUGCCGACUAGGGAUCGGGGCGAUGUUAUUUUUUGACUCGUUCGGCACCUUACGAGAAAUCAAAGUGCUUGGGCUCCAGGGGGAGUAUGGUCGCAAGGCUGAAACUUAAAGAAAUUGACGGAAGGGCACCACCAGGGGUGGAGCCUGCGGCUUAAUUUGACUCAACACGGGGAAACUCACCAGGUCCAGACACAAUGAGGAUUGACAGAUUGAGAGCUCUUUCUUGAUUUUGUGGGUGGUGGGUGCAUGGGCCGUUCUUAGUUGGUGGAGUGAUUUGUCUGCUUAAUUGCGAUAACGAACGAGACCUUAACCUGCUAAAUAGCCCGUAUUGGCUUUGGCAGUACGCUGGCUUUUUAGAGGGACUAUCGG
rnacentral:rRNA from 1 species